rnacentral:rRNA from 1 species
AGCGUACACGGUGGAUGCCCUGGCAGUCAGAGGCGAUGAAGGACGUGCUAAUCUGCGAAAAGCGUCGGUAAGGUGAUAUGAACCGUUAUAACCGGCGAUGUCCGAAUGGGGAAACCCAGUGUGAUUCGUCACACUAUCGUUAACUGAAUACAUAGGUUAACGAGGCGAACCGGGGGAACUGAAACAUCUAAGUACCCCGAGGAAAAGAAAUCAACCGAGAUUCCCCCAGUAGCGGCGAGCGAACGGGGAGCAGCCCAGAGUCUGAAUCAGCUUGUGUGUUAGUGGAACGGUCUGGAAAGUCCGACGGUACAGGGUGAUAGUCCCGUACACCAAAAUGCACAGGCUGUGAACUCGAAGAGUAGGGCGGGACACGUGGUAUCCUGUCUGAAUAUGGGGGGACCAUCCUCCAAGGCUAAAUACUCCUGACUGACCGAUAGUGAACCAGUACCGUGAGGGAAAGGCGAAAAGAACCCCGGCGAGGGGAGUGAAAAAGAACCUGAAACCGUGUACGUACAAGCAGUGGGAGCACCUUCGGGUGUGACUGCGUACCUUUUGUAUAAUGGGUCAGCGACUUAUAUUCUGUAGCAAGGUUAACCGUAUAGGGGAGCCGCAGGGAAACCGAGUCUUAACUGGGCGUUAAGUUGCAGGGUAUAGACCCGAAACCCGGUGAUCUAGCCAUGGGCAGGUUGAAGGUUGGGUAACACUAACUGGAGGACCGAACCGACUAAUGUUGAAAAAUUAGCGGAUGACUUGUGGCUGGGGGUGAAAGGCCAAUCAAACCGGGAGAUAGCUGGUUCUCCCCGAAAGCUAUUUAGGUAGCGCCUCGUGAAUUCAUCUUCGGGGGUAGAGCACUGUUUCGGCUAGGGGGUCAUCCCGACUUACCAACCCGAUGCAAACUACGAAUACCGAAGAAUGUUAUCACGGGAGACACACGGCGGGUGCUAACGUCCGUCGUGAAGAGGGAAACAACCCAGACCGCCAGCUAAGGUCCCAAAGUCAUGGUUAAGUGGGAAACGAUGUGGGAAGGCACAGACAGCCAGGAUGUUGGCUUAGAAGCAGCCAUCAUUUAAAGAAAGCGUAAUAGCUCACUGGUCGAGUCGGCCUGCGCGGAAGAUGUAACGGGGCUAAACCAUGCACCGAAGCUGCGGCAGCGACACUAUGUGUUGUUGGGUAGGGGAGCGUUCUGUAAGCCUGCGAAGGUGACCUGUGAGGGUUGCUGGAGGUAUCAGAAGUGCGAAUGCUGACAUAAGUAACGAUAAAGCGGGUGAAAAGCCCGCUCGCCGGAAGACCAAGGGUUCCUGUCCAACGUUAAUCGGGGCAGGGUGAGUCGACCCCUAAGGCGAGGCCGAAAGGCGUAGUCGAUGGGAAACAGGUUAAUAUUCCUGUACUUGGUGUUACUGCGAAGGGGGGACGGAGAAGGCUAUGUUAGCCGGGCGACGGUUGUCCCGGUUUAAGCAUGUAGGCUGGUUGUCCAGGCAAAUCCGGAUAAUCAAGGCUGAGGUGUGAUGACGAGGCACUACGGUGCUGAAGUAACAAAUGCCCUGCUUCCAGGAAAAGCCUCUAAGCAUCAGGUAACAUCAAAUCGUACCCCAAACCGACACAGGUGGUCAGGUAGAGAAUACCAAGGCGCUUGAGAGAACUCGGGUGAAGGAACUAGGCAAAAUGGUGCCGUAACUUCGGGAGAAGGCACGCUGGUGUGUAGGUGAAGCCCCUGCGGGUGGAGCUGAGACCAGUCGAAGAUACCAGCUGGCUGCAACUGUUUAUUAAAAACACAGCACUGUGCAAACACGAAAGUGGACGUAUACGGUGUGACGCCUGCCCGGUGCCGGAAGGUUAAUUGAUGGGGUUAUCCGUAAGGAGAAGCUCUUGAUCGAAGCCCCGGUAAACGGCGGCCGUAACUAUAACGGUCCUAAGGUAGCGAAAUUCCUUGUCGGGUAAGUUCCGACCUGCACGAAUGGCGUAAUGAUGGCCAGGCUGUCUCCACCCGAGACUCAGUGAAAUUGAACUCGCUGUGAAGAUGCAGUGUACCCGCGGCAAGACGGAAAGACCCCGUGAACCUUUACUAUAGCUUGACACUGAACAUUGAGCCUUGAUGUGUAGGAUAGGUGGGAGGCUUUGAAGCGUGGACGCCAGUCUGCGUGGAGCCAACCUUGAAAUACCACCCUUUAAUGUUUGAUGUUCUAACGUUGGCCCCUUACCGGGGUUGCGGACAGUGUCUGGUGGGUAGUUUGACUGGGGCGGUCUCCUCCCAAAGCGUAACGGAGGAGCACGAAGGUUAGCUAAUCCUGGUCGGACAUCAGGAGGUUAGUGCAAUGGCAUAAGCUAGCUUGACUGCGAGCGUGACGGCGCGAGCAGGUGCGAAAGCAGGUCAUAGUGAUCCGGUGGUUCUGAAUGGAAGGGCCAUCGCUCAACGGAUAAAAGGUACUCCGGGGAUAACAGGCUGAUACCGCCCAAGAGUUCAUAUCGACGGCGGUGUUUGGCACCUCGAUGUCGGCUCAUCACAUCCUGGGGCUGAAGUAGGUCCCAAGGGUAUGGCUGUUCGCCAUUUAAAGUGGUACGCGAGCUGGGUUUAGAACGUCGUGAGACAGUUCGGUCCCUAUCUGCCGUGGGCGCUGGAGAAUUGAGGGGGGCUGCUCCUAGUACGAGAGGACCGGAGUGGACGCAUCACUGGUGUUCGGGUUGUCAUGCCAAUGGCACUGCCCGGUAGCUAAAUGCGGAAGAGAUAAGUGCUGAAAGCAUCUAAGCACGAAACUUGCCCCGAGAUGAGUUCU